UACGAAGGGGGCGAGCGUUGUUCGGAAUUACUGGGCGUAAAGGGCGCGUAGGCGGCGAUCCGAGUCAGAUGUGAAAGUCCUGGGCUUAACCUGGGGACUGCAUUUGAUACUGGAUUGCUUGAAUGCAGGAGAGGAUAGCGGAAUUCCCAGUGUAGAGGUGAAAUUCGUAGAUAUUGGGAAGAACACCCGUGGCGAAGGCGGCACUCUGGGACGGUACUGACGCUGAGACGCGAAAGCGUGGGGAGCGAACAGG
rnacentral:rRNA from 1 species